rnacentral:rRNA from 1 species
GGCGUAGGCGAUGGAUAACAGGUUGAUAUUCCUGUACCACCUAUAAUCGUUUUAAUCGAUGGGGGGACGCAGUAGGAUAGGCGAAGCGUGCGAUUGGAUUGCACGUCUAAGCAGUAAGGCUGAGUAUUAGGCAAAUCCGGUACUCGUUAAGGCUGAGCUGUGAUGGGGAGAAGACAUUGUGUCUUCGAGUCGUUGAUUUCACACUGCCGAGAAAAGCCUCUAGAUAGAAAAUAGGUGCCCGUACCGCAAACCGACACAGGUAGUCAAGAUGAGAAUUCUAAGGUGAGCGAGCGAACUCUCGUUAAGGAACUCGGCAAAAUGACCCCGUAACUUCGGGAGAAGGGGUGCUCUUUAGGGUUAACGCCCAGAAGAGCCGCAGUGAAUAGGCCCAAGCGACUGUUUAUCAAAAACACAGGUCUCUGCUAAACCGUAAGGUGAUGUAUAGGGGCUGACGCCUGCCCGGUGCUGGAAGGUUAAGAGGAGUGGUUAGCUUCUGCGAAGCUACGAAUCGAAGCCCCAGUAAACGGCGGCCGUAACUAUAACGGUCCUAAGGUAGCGAAAUUCCUUGUCGGGUAAGUUCCGACCCGCACGAAAGGCGUAACGAUUUGGGCACUGUCUCAACGAGAGACUCGGUGAAAUCAUAGUACCUGUGAAGAUGCAGGUUACCCGCGACAGGACGGAAAGACCCCGUGGAGCUUUACUGUAGCCUGAUAUUGAAAUUCGGCACAGCUUGUACAGGAUAGGUAGGAGCCUUUGAAACGUGAGCGCUAGCUUACGUGGAGGCGCUGGUGGGAUACUACCCUAGCUGUGUUGGCUUUCUAACCCGCACCACUUAUCGUGGUGGGAGACAGUGUCAGGCGGGCAGUUUGACUGGGGCGGUCGCCUCCUAAAAGGUAACGGAGGCGCUCAAAGGUUCCCUCAGAAUGGUUGGAAAUCAUUCAUAGAGUGUAAAGGCAUAAGGGAGCUUGACUGCGAGACCUACAAGUCGAGCAGGGUCGAAAGACGGACUUAGUGAUCCGGUGGUUCCGCAUGGAAGGGCCAUCGCUCAACGGAUAAAAGCUACCCCGGGGAUAACAGGCUUAUCUCCCCCAAGAGUUCACAUCGACGGGGAGGUUUGGCACCUCGAUGUCGGCUCAUCGCAUCCUGGGGCUGUAGUCGGUCCCAAGGGUUGGGCUGUUCGCCCAUUAAAGCGGUACGCGAGCUGGGUUCAGAACGUCGUGAGACAGUUCGGUCCCUAUCCGUCGUGGGCGUAGGAAAUUUGAGAGGAGCUGUCCUUAGUACGAGAGGACCGGGAUGGACAUACCUCUGGUGUACCAGUUGUCGUGCCAACGGCAUAGCUGGGUAGCUAUGUGUGGACGGGAUAAGUGCUGAAAGCAUCUAAGCAUGAAGCCCCCCUCAAGAUGAGAUUUCCCAACUUCGGUUAUAAGAUCCCUCAAAGAUGAUGAGGUUAAUAGGUUCGAGGUGGAAGCAUGGUGACAUGUGGAGCUGACGAAUACUAAUCGAUCGAAGACUUAAUCAA